rfam:Oryza meridionalis cultivar OR44 (W2112) chromosome 3, whole genome shotgun sequence.
UUUAAGUGCAACCAUGAGUUUUCGUGCUCAACUUUGAUCGUUCGUCUUAUUUGAAAUUAUUUAUAAUUAGUAUUUUUAUUGUUAUGAGAUGAUAAAACAUUAAUAGGACUUUACUCGUAACUUAUAUUUUCAAAAAAUUUUAAUUUUUUUGAAAAUAAGACAGAUGAUCAAAGUUGGUCGCGAAAAACCAUGGUUCCACUUAAA